ACGGGAGGCAGCAGUGGGGAAUAUUGGGCAAUGGGCGAAAGCCUGACCCAGCAACGCCGCGUGAAGGAAGAAGGUCUUCGGAUUGUAAACUUCUUUUAUGAGGGACGAAACAAAUGACGGUACCUCAUGAAUAAGCCACGGCUAACUACGUGCCAGCAGCCGCGGUAAUACGUAGGUGGCAAGCGUUAUCCGGAUUUACUGGGUGUAAAGGGCGCGUAGGCGGGAAUGCAAGUCAGAUGUGAAAUCUCUGGGCUCAACCCAGAAACUGCAUUUGAAACUGUAUUUCUUGAGUGCUGGAGAGGUAGAUGGAAUUCCUAGUGUAGCGGUGAAAUGCGUAGAUAUUAGGAGGAACAUCAGUGGCGAAGGCGGCUUACUGGGCUUUAACUGACGCUGAGGCUCGAAAGCGUGGGGAGCAAACAGGAUUAGAUACCCUGGUA
rnacentral:rRNA from 1 species